UAUCUCAAAACUAAAUAGUCUCUUGUCUCAGCUCAUCCACCGGCACCAUGAUCAUUCCUAUUCGCUGCUUCACUUGUGGGAAAGUGGUGGGCAACAAGUGGGAGUCUUACCUGGGAUUGCUACAGGCAGAGUUCACAGAGGGUGAUGCCCUCGAUGCACUCAGACUCAGGAGAUACUGCUGCAGGAGAAUGCUACUGUCUCAUGUUGAUCUCAUAGAGAAAUUGCUCAACUAUGCACCAUUGGAGAAAUGACUAACUUUACUAGUGACUCUUCAACAACUAUAUAAUUCCUUGCAUUUUCGUGUACACUUACAAUUGAUUUUGUACACAUAACUCCA